rnacentral:lncRNA from 1 species
AACACUGAAACCCUUUAGGAGUGAUGAAUGGAUACUCUGUGAAAGUGUAAGUUUUUCAUAUGAGAGCCCAAGUAAAAGCUAUUAUUAUUACUUCAUUGAACUGUAAUAAUCAUCUUAAAACUAAACCCAAAAAGCUUUUCUUUUUCUUUUUCUUUUUUUUCUUUUUUUAAACAAAAAUAAGUAAAUAAAUAAAAUCCUCAGAAGUAAUUUUGAACAUCUUUGGCAGGCACAAUAAAUUGGCAUCUCUUGUUGCAAGACAGGUGAAAUGGCUGCUCCCUGAGGGGUUCUGAUCACCUUGGCUCAAUCCAAGCUACACUGGGUUUUCGGUUUCUGCAGAUGUCAUGGAUAUGCUGCAGUGCAUACCAGAAGGUACAGGAAGAUGAUGAGAAGGGGAAAAUAUGAGAACACAGGGCAUACAUUAGUCUCAUCUUCUCCAGGAACUAUGCGGAGGGAAGAGAACAUACUGGCAAGGAGGAAGGGACGCUAUGGUUUCUGCUGGUCUCAAGAUAACAGCAGCCUUCCUAAUCCUUGGUUGGGCACAAAAGCUUGGAGAAUGCGGAAGUCUUUCUUAUCUCUUUGUACUGGGAAACAUUUCCCCUUACGUGUGAAAAAAAAAAAAGCAACAUUUUAUAGAUGAAUCUCUUUCAAAUUGGUACUGGUAAUCUACUGUCCUAAAAAAAACCUGCAGCAAUGUUUGAGUUGUGUUGUUUCUCAGUGUACCCUCAGUAGAAGAAUAAGAACCCACCCUGAGUAUAAUAUAAGAAUCAGAAAUGUAUUUUAAAAUGUAGGCUUUUUGUGUUGUUUUUUUUUUUUUUUACUUAUGUAUUUACACAUAAUGUGAUUGCUUGUAGAGACAAAAAACAAAAGAAGAACUAAUAGCAGUGCACAAAUAUAAGACAGUAAAGAUAGUGCUACUAAAGGAAAUGUGGCCUUUUAAAACCAAUCUUAUUGAAGUAGCCUCUUGGAUUUAAUGGAAAAAAAAAAAAAAAAAAAGUAUCCACACUUUGUAAGUAAGUUCUACACUUCAAAAUUUGCUAAUGCCAUCAUCAUUGCUGUUAAU